rnacentral:rRNA from 1 species
UACGAAGGGUGCAAGCGUUAAUCGGAAUUACUGGGCGUAAAGGGUGCGUAGGCGGUUCGUUAAGUCUGUCGUGAAAUCCCCGGGCUCAACCUGGGAAUGGCGAUGGAUACUGGCGAGCUAGAGUGUGUCAGAGGAUGGUGGAAUUCCCGGUGUAGCGGUGAAAUGCGUAGAGAUCGGGAGGAACAUCAGUGGCGAAGGCGGUCUGCUGGGCCGUUGCUGACGCUGAGGCGCGACAGCGUGGGGAGCAAACAGG